CCCGCCCACAUUCUCGUGCGCCUCCAUAAUCGAGAAUCAGAAAAGAAAUAAAGAAGAUUCAAGUUGUAAGUCAACUAUUGUUGAGAAUGCCUCAUACAAAACAGAUUCAAUGAUAUUUCAAAAAAAAUAAAUAAUGUGGCACUUGAGAAACAACGCAGGCAGUAGUGGCCACAUCUCAGCCGGAACUCGCCGGUCCCUCUUGGAGAGGAGGUAGCACUGGAUGGUGAGCAGACGGUCUUUGGCUGGUCCAAACUCUGGCUGGAGUUUUAGAGUUGACUCGUACCACUGCAUGGCUCUCUCAAACUCCUCCUAUGAAAAGA